UACGAAGGGGGCUAGCGUUGUUCGGAUUUACUGGGCGUAAAGCGCACUAGGCGGAUUGUUAAGUCAGGGGUGAAAUCCUGGAGCUCAACUCCAGAACUGCCUUUGAUACUGGCGAUCUCGAGUCCGGGAGAGGUGAGUGGAACUGCGAGUGUAGAGGUGAAAUUCGUAGAUAUUCGCAAGAACACCAGUGGCGAAGGCGCUCACUGGCCCGAUACUGACGCUGAGGCACGAAAGCGUGGGGAG
rnacentral:rRNA from 1 species